CAAAAUAUAGCUUAACCAAAGCACCUCGCUACACCGAGUAAACAUCUGUGAACCCAGAUUUUUUGA
rnacentral:tRNA from 1 species